rnacentral:rRNA from 1 species
GACAGAGGCCUCGAGCGUUAGGCGGAAUCACUGGGCUUAAAGCGUGUGUAGGCGGACCCCUAAGUGUCUUGUGAAAUCCCACGGCUCACCCGUGGAACCGCUGGGCAUACUGGGGGUCUUGGGCCGUUCAGGGGCGACUGGAACAAGCGGUGGAGCGGUGAAAUGCGUAGAUAUCGCUUGGAACGCCGACGGUGAAAACAGGUCGCUGGGAAUGUGCCGACGCUGAGACACGAAAGCCAGGGGAGCAAACGGG